rnacentral:rRNA from 1 species
UGGGGAAUAUUGCGCAAUGGGCGAAAGCCUGACGCAGCAACGCCGCGUGAGUGAUGAAGGCCUUCGGGUUGUAAAGCACUUUCGGACGGAACGAAAUCGCGCGGGCGAAUACCCCGCGUGGAUGACGGUACCGUAAGAAGAAGCACCGGCUAACUACGUGCCAGCAGCCGCGGUAAUACGUAGGGUGCGAGCGUUAAUCGGAAUUACUGGGCGUAAAGUGUGCGCAGGCGGCCGAGCAAGUCGAGUGUGAAAGCCCCGAGCUUAACUUGGGAAUUGCGCUCGAAACUACUUGGCUGGAGUGUGGCAGAGGAGGGUGGAAUUCCACGUGUAGCGGUGAAAUGCGUAGAGAUGUGGAGGAACACCGAUGGUGAAGGCAGCCCUCUGGGCCAACACUGACGCUCAUGCACGAAAGCGUGGGGAGCAAACAGGAUUAGAUACCCUUGUAGUCCCUGAGCGGGCUGGCAAGGCGCAU